rnacentral:rRNA from 2 species
CGAUGUGGGAAGGCCCAGACAGCCAGGAUGUUGGCUUAGAAGCAGCCAUCAUUUAAAGAAAGCGUAAUAGCUCACUGGUCGAGUCGGCCUGCGCGGAAGAUGUAACGGGGCUAAACCAUGCACCGAAGCUGCGGCAGCGAACGUAUCACCCAAGACAACUUUACGGAGUUGACGAUUGACGGAGCGAAGCGACGUCAAAGCGUUCAUUAAAGUCGAGUUGGCUUAGGGAUACGUUCGUUGGGUAGGGGAGCGUUCUGUAAGCCUGUGAAGGUGUGUCGUGAGGCAUGCUGGAGGUAUCAGAAGUGCGAAUGCUGACAUAAGUAACGAUAAAGCGGGUGAAAAGCCCGCUCGCCGGAAGACCAAGGGUUCCUGUCCAACGUUAAUCGGGGCAGGGUGAGUCGACCCCUAAGGCGAGGCCGAAAGGCG